rnacentral:rRNA from 1 species
AACGAACGCCGGCGGCAUGCCUAACACAUGCAAGUCGAACGAGAUCUUCGGGUCUAGUGGCGCACGGGUGCGUAACGCGUGGGAAUCUGCCCUUUGGUUCGGAAUAACAGUUGGAAACGACUGCUAAUACCGGAUGAUGACGAAAGUCCAAAGACUUAUCGCCAGAGGAUGAGCCCGCGGAGGAUUAGCUAGUUGGUGUGGCAAAGGCGCACCAAGGCGACGAUCCUUAGCUGGUCUGAGAGGAUGAUCAGCCACACUGGGACUGAGACACGGCCCUGACUCCUAGGGGAGGCAGCAGUGGGGAAUAUUGGACAAUGGGCGAAAUCCUGAUCCAGCAAUGCCGCGUGAGUGAUGAAGGCCUUAGGGUUGUAAAGCUCUUUUACCCGGGAUGAUAAUGACAGUACCGGGAGAAUAAGCUCCGGCUAACUCCGUGCCAGCCGCCGCAGUAA